UACGUAGGUGACAAGCGUUAUCCGGAUUUAUUGGGCGUAAAGCGCACGCAGGCGGUCUGUCAAGUCUGACGUGAAAUCUCUCGGCUUAACCGGGAGCGGUCGUUGGAAACUGAUGGACUUGAGGCGAUGAGAGGGAUGUGGAAUACCCGGUGGAGCGGUGAAAUGCGUAGAGAUCGGGUGGAACACCAGUGGCGAAGGCGGCAUCCUGGCCCUGACCUGACGCUGAGGCGCGAGAGCGUGGGGAGCAAACGGG
rnacentral:rRNA from 1 species